UCUGCACACCGUUAGAGCUUGGAGCUGAGGCCGGUUACCGGCCGAUGAGCUACCGAGUGUAGGUUGUGUGCUACAGCGAAGGGCGGCGGGUUUUUUCGCUAACGCCACAAGGGCCUUUGUGGUCCGAUGAGUGGAGUUUGAUGGUAACAUCUGCCACAAGA